AUUGAACGUUAGCGGGAUGCUUUACACAUGCAAGUCGAACGGCAGCGCGGACUUCGGUCUGGCGGCGAGUGGCGAACGGGUGAGUAAUGUAUCGGAACGUGCCCAGUAGCGGGGGAUAACUACGCGAAAGCGUAGCUAAUACCGCAUACGCCCUACGGGGGAAAGCAGGGGAUCGUAAGACCUUGCACUAUUGGAGCGGCCGAUAUCGGAUUAGCUAGUUGGUGAGGUAACGGCUCACCAAGGCGACGAUCCGUAGCUGGUUUGAGAGGACGACCAGCCACACUGGGACUGAGACACGGCCCAGACUCCUACGGGAGGCAGCAGUGGGGAAUUUUGGACAAUGGGGGCAACCCUGAUCCAGCCAUCCCGCGUGUGCGAUGAAGGCCUUCGGGUUGUAAAGCACUUUUGGCAGGAAAGAAACGUCGCGGGCUAAUACCCCGUGGAACUGACGGUACCUGCAGAAUAAGCACCGGCUAACUACGUG
rnacentral:rRNA from 1 species